ACCAGACUCCUACGGGAGGCAGCAGUGGGGGAUAUUGCACAAUGGGGGGAACCCUGAUGCAGCGACGCCGCGUGGGUGAAGGAGUAUUUCGGUAUGUAAAGCCCUAUCGGCAGGGAAGAAGCAAGACGGUACCUGACUAAGAAGCCCCGGCUAACUACGUGCCAGCAGCCGCGGUAAUACGUAGGGGGCGAGCGUUAUCCGGAUUCACUGGGCGUAAAGGGAGCGUAGACGGCCAAGCAAGCCAGGGGUGAAAGCCCGGGGCCCAACCCCGGGACUGCCCUUGGAACUGCUUGGCUGGAGUGCGGGAGGGGCAGGCGGAAUUCCUGGUGUAGCGGUGAAAUGCGUAGAUAUCAGGAGGAACACCGGCGGCGAAGGCGGCCUGCUGGACCGCGACUGACGUUGAGGCUCGAAAGCGUGGGGAGCGAACAGGAUUAGAUACCCUUGUAAAA
rnacentral:rRNA from 1 species